rnacentral:rRNA from 1 species
UGGGAAUAUUGCACAAUGGGCGAAAGCCUGAUGCAGCAACGCCGCGUGCGGGAUGACGGCCUUCGGGUUGUAAACCGCUUUCAGCAGGGACGAAGGUUUUCUGACGGUACCUGCAGAAGAAGCACCGGCUAACUACGUGCCAGCAGCCGCGGUGAUACGUAGGGUGCGAGCGUUGUCCGGAAUUAUUGGGCGUAAAGAGCUUGUAGGCGGUCCGUUGCGUCGGAAGUGAAAACUCAGGGCUUAACCCCUGAGCCUGCUUUCGAUACGGGCGGACUUGAGGGAUGUAGGGGAGAACGGAAUUCCUGGUGGAGCGGUGGAAUGCGCAGAUAUCAGGAGGAACACCAGUGGCGAAGGCGGUUCUCUGGACAUUUCCUGACGCUGAGAAGCGAAAGCGUGGGGAGCAAACAGGCUUANAUACCCUGGUAGUCCACGCCGUAAACGGUGGCACUAGGUGUGGGACCCAUUCCACGGGUUCCGUGCCGUAGCUAACGCAUUAAGUGCCCCGCCUGGGGAGUACGGCCGCAAGGCUAAAACUCAAAGGAAUUG